rnacentral:rRNA from 1 species
CAUUAGCGUAUAUUUUUUCUGUUGCAGUUAAAAAGCUCGUAGUUGGGAUGAAGGGUUAUAUAAGUUGAAAGUAUAGAUUAUAUUUUGAGUUUAUAUAAUUUGGAAGAUUGAUAAAAGUGAUUAUUUUAUUUUAAUUAAUAAAGUGAUGUUACAUUUUUAUCCAUUUACUGUGAGUAAAUUAGAGUGUUUCAAGCAGCUUUUUUUGGAGAAGCGUUGAAUAUAAUUAGCAUGGGAUAAUAAAACAGGACUAUAGUUUGUUGAUUUAAAAAACUAAAGUAAUGAGAAAGAGGGACAGUUGGGGGCAUUUGUAUUUUGUUGUCAGAGGUGAAAUUCUUGGAUUUACAAAAGACAAACUUAUGCGAAAGCAUUUGCCAAGGAUGUUUUCAUUAA